rnacentral:lncRNA from 1 species
UUAUAGAUAAGUUUGACAAACUUCAAAGAGUGCAAAAGCACAAGCAGCAAGCUGUAAGCUUGAGAACUAGUAAUAUUACAUUAUUACAUCACAAUGAUUAUAGAUUUAUAGGAUAGAUAAGUCAAAAUCAACAUCACAUGCACCCAGCCACCAGAUUUAGACAAUUAGACCGCAUCAAGUGAUAAGUAUGCAUUCUGUAGACAACAACUUCCAGCAAUCCUCCAUUCCUCAUUGUGCCCAGCGACCAUCGACCAACAUUACACUACCUGCUGUUGCAGUUAUAUUGUUGUUUCCUGCAGUUUAAAAAUAGAGAACAAAGAGAAUAAAUUGCUACUUCAUGCAGUUUAGUUUAUAUUGACUGCAAUAGAAAAUAAAUGAAUAGAUACCAGAAUGUCCUCUUGAAUAUCUUGAAGUGUCACACCCGGAUUUCGGGGCACCAAGACCCGGGCGCGAACAAUCACCAGGUGUGCUGGGACCAAGUCUCACACAUAUGAUGAAUCAUGGCACAGGAUCGAAUGUCACAUCUUUACUAUAUAAUAGGAGUUCUAUACAAAAUAAAUAAGUAAUUACAUUAUAAGGAGACAACGGUCCAGCAACCCAAAGUUGACUGGGAGACGACGACCUAGACCUCUCACGAACACAUCGCAGCAUCCUCCAUGCGCCUCAUCCUGUAGUACCUGUUCUUGACCUGUGGGGGGUGUGAGACAGCAAGAGUGAGCUCACAUACGUUCAUCGCUCAACAAGUUGUGGGGAAUAAUGUGCAUGAACUCGCCAAAGGUGGGAGCUCACGUGAAGUGUAAGGCUUACCAAAGAGGAUGGUUAGAGCCGAGCAUUGCUUUUAAAGUUGGUCAAAAUUUUAUUAGCAAUUACUAAGUAUAAGUAAAUACCAACCCAAUUAAGUAGUAGAACAAAAGUAACAACAUCACCUGCGAUGCAAUGCAUAUGACAAAUUGAAUUUAGUUCCAUAAUUUAAUCAUCAGAGAGUCCUGAGCGGCUCAUGACCGUGAGCUCGUCUAGUAUACCAGUUUUACACUCUGCAGAGGUGGUACCCUUUACCCACAAGUCAUGUUACCUAUCUGCCAAGGGAUCGCGACUUCCCAUACACCUCUACCGAGGAGGCGAGGCAGGGUAACACUACGAGGCCUUUACAAAGUUCCACUAGCUUCAGAAAACCCGCUACAGUUUAUAGGAAGCUCCAAUGCAGGGUUCUUGCCUGACCGCCAUCGCAGCAAAAUCAACCAAGGACCUCCCUACACUGACCACUCCCCUACUGCCCUUGCCCCUUUUGGGUAAGGUAGUUCUCCACUAGCUUUCCUAAUUAAUCAGCCAAGGGCGUCCAUAAACCCUUGUGGUGGCACGUGUUUCUCAAGUUAAGCUCUAUGUUCUAAUUAACAUUAAUGAUCUUGACAUGAACAUAAAUAGAAUAACAAAAUAACUGGAACAUAAAUAUGAUAAAUAAUUAUCCCAAAUCCAUGUAAAGCAAUAGCAAACUACCCAAGUGAUUCAGGGGUAAACAAGGUAAUGAGAUAAACAAUCUAGGGUAACCUAUUGGGUUCCAUCAAAAUUAAACCUAUGCAUGAACAUGUGACAUCAAAGAACAUUAUUGGGUAAGAAGUGGUCAAGGGCACAACUUGCCUGGGACUUGAGAUUCCAGGUACCAACAUGCCUUUCAGAUGACACGUGUCUUCGCGCUAGUCGUAGCAAUACAAACAAACAUGGUAUAGAUAAAAUUAACAUCACACCAAACAUAAGAAUAUACUGCAUAAUAAUGAUCUACACGUCGCUACGAGAUCGUGAGAAUGAGAACCACUAAAAUCGGAGUUACGGUUAAGGAGUUAUGAAUUUCCGAAGAUUUUAUGUGUUUGAUACGGAAAUAAUUAAGUGGUCAAAUUUAAUAUAGUUUUCAUGCUAAAACAGAGUCAUUAAGUGCUAAACAAUAUUAAUACACAAUUAUAGAAAUUGGAACGGGUCAAAAACGAGUUAAAAUGAAUUUUCUAUGAUUUACACAAGUUCUAGUAUUUAUUUUUGCAUUAAAAAUAAAUUCCUAUUUCAUUUUCCCUGAUUUUCUAAUUUCCUGGACUGGGCGUCAAUUAUAGGAAAGGGCAGGGGCUAACGCAUAAGAAAUCCUAAGACACAUAGCGCUACUGUGUGGACUGUGGGUUUAAUCAACCGGACCCGAGGGUUUCUUUUGUAAAACGACUUCGGUGAAGGGGUACCGAACGAUCCUAGCCGUUUGAUCGGCUGCAUACGGUCAGGAUUAGAUUCCAUCUAACUCUAAUCAGAACACUACGCAGACCCUAGGAUCAAAAUCCAACGAACCAGAUCUAACCACAAACGGUGCGCUAGAAUCCAAUAUAAUGCGUCCAUUCGGAUCGAACGGUCAUCAUUCCGUUUUAACCCGAUUGAACCCUGCCCGCAGAUAUCUGAUCCAACGGCCAUAUACUCAUCUUCCCCAGUUGAACGCCCAGCUGCGGCAGCUAGCAGGGCGCACGGUGGCAUCACGCCGGAGGAGCACCCCCAACACUCGGCCCGAGGCCGACUCGGCACACAAACCCCCUACCGUCGAUCACAGUAGCGCGACGCAGGGAACUAAUUCGAGCUAAUUUGUGAGGUCUUACCCAGGAAUAAUGGCUUGGAGGUCUUUGGCCACGACACGGGGUGAAUUGCGACGAUGCCCUCUCCUUCGAUGCUCCGCGAUGAACCGACCGAAUUCCAACAGAAUCCCGCGCUGGAUCCACUGUCUCGAGCGAGCCCGCACGUGAAAACCUAUGGCGGCGGCGCAGCGCGUGGUUGCAGUGGCGUGGUGGAGUUCCUCGCCCAUCCCUCUCUUCUCAAUUUCUCUCUCCGCCGACUGCGACAAGAACAUGGUGCUUUUACUGGUGUGGUUCAGGG